rnacentral:rRNA from 1 species
UGCGUAGGUGGCGCUGUAAGUGGGGUGUGAAAUCCCGGGGCUUAACCCCGGGACUGCAUUCCAUACUGCGGUGCUUGAGGACUGGAGAGGAGACUGGAAUUUACGGUGUAGCAGUGAAAUGCGUAGAGAUCGUAAGGAAGACCAGUGGCGAAGGCGGGUCUCUGGACAGUUCCUGACACUGAGGCACGAAGGCCAGGGGAGCGAAACG